rnacentral:tRNA from 1 species
GGAGAGAUGGCCGAGCUGGUCGAAGGCGCGCCCCUGCUAAGGUCGUAUACGCGCAAAACGCGUAUCGUGGGUUCGAAUCCCACUCACUCCGCCA